AAACAGUACCUCUCGUGGAUUGCGACUGGAACAGGACUCUUCUUUGCAGCCAUCUUCCACAUUGGUACAAAGGAACCUCAAAAAUGUCAGAGUAAAGAAAGCGCCACAACGGAUUGUACGAAAGCUUCUGAAAAAUUCAUUGAAGAGUUUGUACCCGAAAAUGCAAAUUCUAGACGGACCAGUCUUACUUUUAAGUUUACUAACAUGGUUAUGGCUUCAACUGAAUAUGAAGAA